CAGAACACUGAGAAGCAAGAAUUAUUUUAUUUUCUGUCCUUGAGAGAAGAAGACACUUAGCACUCUACAGAACUCAGUGUGAGAAGAGUACAUGUGAUCUGUGGUCGUUGUAAAAUAUGUCUGCACAUCCCUGACACUCAGAGUUCACAACCCCUGCCCCCUGCAAUCCCCCUCAUAAAUCAUUUGACUGUUGUUCCCUUCUGCCAUUUAUGAACCCUCAAUCUGGGUUGGUUUUCCUGGGAGAGGAGGGACAUACCCCCUCCCCCAUUCUCCUUCCAUGCAUCUGGGAUGGGCUCUCCCCUUGGCUUCAGUGAUGAACCGUGUGGCCCAGGCUGGCCCUCAGCAAAUGUCUGACAACUGAGCAUCUAGAUGAACUGAGCCCCCUCCUCAGGCCCCUUGUGUAGGGAACCGGUGGGCAGAGGCCUCAUCCCCUUCUCUCAUCUCUGGUGAGACACCACCACACAGCCACAUUCCCUGGAGAUUGGAGUGCCUGCACCCCCUUUUACCCAGUGUCUCCAGAGCUCAUUGCUCAGUAGAUGGGGCCCAGGAGGGAGGAGGCAGAGGAUGGGGGUGGUCAAUGAGAGUGUGGGACUCCUCCUCACCUCCUUUCUCCAGGCAAAGCCAUCAAUCCCUGGCGGGGAGGAGAGUGACUCCGCCAGCCCUGCCACAG
rnacentral:lncRNA from 1 species